GACGAACGCUGGCGGCGUGCUUAACACAUGCAAGUCGAACGGAUAGGCCCUGCUUUCGUGGGGUGUUCGAGUGGCGAACGGGUGAGUAACACGUGAGUAACCUUCCCUUGACUUUGGGAUAACCUCAGGAAACUGGGGAUAAUACCGGAUAGGAGCUCCUGCUGCAUGGUGGGGGUUGGAAAGUUUCGGUGGUUGGGGAUGGAGUGGCGGUUUAUCAGCUUGUUGGUGGGGUAGUGGCUUAGCCAGGCUUUGACGGGUAGCCGGCGUGGGAGCGUGACCGGCGACCUUGCUACUAAGAGACGGCCCAGUCUCCAACAGUAGGCAGCAGGGGGAAAUAUUGCCCAAUGGUGCGAAGCCUGAUGCAGCAACCCCGCGAUCGGGAUGACGGCCUUCUGGGUGUAAACCGCUUUCGCCUGUGACGAAGCUGUUUUGACGUUAAUGAGUAAAUAAGCACCGGCUAACUACGUG
rnacentral:rRNA from 1 species